rnacentral:rRNA from 1 species
AUACGGAGGGGGCAAGCGUUGUUCGGAAUUACUGGGCGUAAAGCGCGCGUAGGCGGGCUGGUUAGUUGGGGGUGAAAUCCCAGGGCUUAACCCUGGAACGGCCUCCAAUACUGCCAGUCUAGAGUUCGAGAGAGGUGAGUGGAAUUCCUAGUGUAGAGGUGAAAUUCGUAGAUAUUAGGAAGAACACCAGUGGCGAAGGCGGCUCACUGGCUCGAUACUGACGCUGAGGUGCGAAAGCGUGGGGAGCAAACAGGAUUAGAUACCCCAGUAGUCC